CUAUCGAUUUAGGUUCAAUCCUGUGGGGUCACACACAUUAAAAGAUUCGAUCUGAUCAAAUGGUUGAAGAGUCCCACUGGAUUGGAACUCUAGUGAAGAAUUCCACUAGAUUGAGACUCUAGAGGAGAGUCCCACUGGACUAAAACUUUACUGUUAAUAAAAAAUUUAUUAGCAAUUAGAUUGCUAAUUGAUUCAAUUUGAUUGAGC
rnacentral:lncRNA from 1 species